AUUUGCUCAAUUAUUGUCUCAAUGGCAAGUGGGUCCGGCUCCAUGCGGCAGGAGGGAGGCAAAUUAUUAAAUAGAGAAGUAAAGUGUGGCAAAAGAUUCAAUUUCUGGCCGGUCACCAGCCAAACCACUGUUCGGCAAGGAGAUCUUACGAGUAGAGAGCCGUCGAAUCGCACCUGGGCGCGCCAUCCGACGGGUCGAAGAACAUCCUUCCGUUUUGCAAGCGCAGGCAUGCAUAGUAUGGCCAGUCCGAUCAGUGUACGCACCAGUCCGAGACAUCCUCUGUCCGUCCCUCAGUCAUCUUUAGUUCGAGCCGCACAUGCUUCACAUUUAGCGAUAAGAGUUGCAGAUCCAUUAUUCCCUUGCGCUAAACUCUCGAAAGCGCGUGCUGUAGUGGCAGCAGCAUUGGAGGUAUCCAAGGCCCCUUCUUCUUCUGGUUUGGCAAACCGCCAGCCAUCGAAGGAGGUUCUUGAGACAUGGCGCAAUGCCAAUGCGGUGUGCUUCGAUGUGGAUAGCACUGUAUGCUUGGAUGAGGGUAUUGACGAGCUUGCUGAUUUCUGUGGGGCUGGGCAGGCAGUUGCUGAGUGGACGACAAAGGCGAUGACAGGGACCGUUCCAUUUGAAGAGGCUCUUGUGGCCUGGAUCUCUUUAAUCAAGCCAUCUCUAUCCCAAGUUGAGGACUGUUUGGAGAAGAGGCCACCCAGGAUUUCUCCUGGAAUCGCUGAUUUGAUUAAGACAUUAAAAGCUAAUAAUACUGAAGUAUUCCUUGUGUCAGGAGGUUUCCGGCAAAUGAUCAAGCCUGUGGCAUUUGAUCUUGGCAUUCCUACUGAAAACAUCAUAGCAAACCAACUGCUAUUUGGAUCAUCUGGAGAGUAUGCUGGAUUUGAUCCCACAGAGCCCACUUCCCGAAGUGGGGGUAAAGCAGUAGCAGUGCAACAAAUAAGACAGGAUCAUGGUUACAAUACACUGGUUAUGAUUGGAGAUGGUGCCACUGAUCUUGAGGCUCGUCAACCUGGUGGAGCAGACUUGUUCAUCUGUUACGCCGGCGUCCAGAUGAGAGAAGCAGUUGCAGCCAAAGCUGACUGGACCGUCUUUGAAUUUCAAGAGCUAAUUUCUGAAUUGUCAUAAUUCUGAUACCUCACUGUGAUUCUGAAUCUUUCGCUGUUCACACUAUGACAGAUGAUUGUAUGUGUUCAUGCUUGUGCUUAGCUGCAUACUCCCUCCGUCCGGAAAUACUUGUCCUCGAAAUGGAUAAAAUGGAUGUAUCUAUAACUAAAAUAAGUCUAGAUACAACCAUUUUGAGGACAAGUAUUUCCGGACGGAGGGAGUACUUAAUUGUAGGUAUUUCAUAUUUCAAUCAUUCCUUUCGUGAGGUGGUGCUGGAGCUGAAGCUCAAAUUUAUUGGUUGUGUUUCUGAAACAUGGUGGUUAUGUUUUCUGUUUUCAUCAUGGGUUGGUGGUUAUGUAUCUGAUAUGGAAACCUGAUAG
rnacentral:rRNA from 1 species